rnacentral:misc_RNA from 1 species
UCUUCAUUCUACUUAACUUAAAACACUUUGACUUUAGAGCACUUCUCCAAAGCUCUAGCUUUCUGUUGAACUGCAACCUUAUUAAUUUGAGGCAAGUGUGAAUCAACAACUGAUGGAAGUGUUGUACUUCCAGUAUGACCACCAAUGGUCUAAAAUAUGAGACAUGUUCUUGUGGUGUCUCUUAAUCCCAACAUUUUAGUUACUGACAGAAUUUCAUUCGUUUUAUGUGGAGCUUUUCUGGUGCAUUUAAGAACAUUGGUUGAUGUGAAACAUGUCUCGCUGCGUUGUUUGGAUAUACUGGCUACUGUUGUAUGAAUAUCUUUCAUUGAAUUGUAACAUAUAUUAACAAAAAUUCAAGCAUUUUCCUGCAUGUUAAUCUGGAAUCGCAUGUUUGCCUAAACGAUGUCGAAGCUUUGAGUUACCAUUAAAUGUUUUAGCGCUUACCUAUAUGUUGCACUUAUGGUUUUGU